CCUACGGGAGGCAGCAGUCGAGAAUCAUUCACAAUGGGGGAAACCCUGAUGGUGCGACGCCGCGUGGGGGAAUGCAGGUCUUCGGAUUGUAAACCCCUGUCAUGUGGGAGCAAAUUAAAAAGAUAGUACCACAAGAGGAAUAGACGGCUAACUCUGUGCCAGCAGCUGCGGUAAUGCAGAGGUCUCAAGCGUGGUUCGGAAUCACUGGGCGUAAAGCGUGCGUAGGCGGUUUCGUAAGUCGGGUGGGAAAGGGGCGGGCUCAACCUGGGGACGGCACAUGAUACUGCGAGACUAGAGUGAUGGAGGGGGAAGCGGAAUGCGGGGUGUAGCAGUGAAAUGCGUAGAUAUCGAGAGGAACACUGGUGGCGAAGGCGGGUUCCUGGACAUUAACUGACGCUGAGGCACGAAGGCCAGGGGAGCGAAAGGGAUUAGAUACCCGUGUAGUC
rnacentral:rRNA from 1 species